UACGGGGGGGGGCAAGCGUUGUUCGGAAUUACUGGGCGUAAAGGGCUCGUAGGCGGCCAACUAAGUCCGACGUGAAAUCCCCAGGCUUAACCUGGGAACUGCGUCGGAUACUGGAUGGCUUGAAUUCGGGAGAGGGAUGCAGAAUUCCAGGUGUAGCGGUGAAAUGCGUAGAUAUCGGGAGGAACACCAGUGGCGAAGGCGACUUCCUGGCCUGUUCUUGACGCUGAGGCGCGAAAGCUAGGGUAGCAAACGGG
rnacentral:rRNA from 1 species